rnacentral:tRNA from 1 species
UGGCUCAGUGGUUAAGCACUCAGCUGCUACCUGAAAGGUCGGCGGUUUAAACCCGCC